rnacentral:rRNA from 1 species
UACGUAGGGGGCGAGCGUUGUCCGGAAUCAUUGGGCGUAAAGAGCAUGUAGGCGGCUUGGCAAGUCUGACGUGAAAGCCCGCGGCUCAACCGCGGAGUGUCGUUGGAAACUGCCUCGCUAGAGUCCGGAAGAGGAGAGCGGAAUUCCUGGUGUAGCGGUGGAAUGCGCAGAUAUCAGGAAGAACACCCGUGGCGAAGGCGGCUCUCUGGGACGGUACUGACGCUGAGACGCGAAAGCGUGGGGAGCGAACAGG